UGGAAAAAGGUGCAUUUUUUUUUAUUUUUUUUAUAAACCAACUUUGAUUUUUUACAAUUUAUUAGUCCCACAAGGGGACUUGACUGACAAGAGAUCUGCGUGCUUCUAUAAUGUACUUAAUGCUAAUGAAGCUCUGGCACAGUGAUAGGGCAUACACUGCAGGCAGACCAAGGGGCCUCCAUUAGACACACAGCUGCAAUUCUAAGACAUCAACACCCCGUGAUAUAAUUUGCCGGUGUGCGGAUGCCUGACACAGAGUUCCCUUCCACUAAACUGCUUGAAUGCUGUGGUCGCUAUUGGCUGCAACAUCUAAUGGUUUAAACAGCCCAGAUCAGUGCUUCUGCUAGUCUGGGCCUUUAGAGCAGGAGACUGGCUCUCAUUUGAGUGCCACACUCAUGCUUUGUGAUACAUGGGUGCAGUGCUUAGAUUAGGCUGCCGUAAAAAGGCGCCGGCCUAGCCUAAGACCUGUUAGUGACCGCCGUAAAAAGGCAUACUGACAGUCACUAAUGGGUUAAAGAUCUACACAUGUUAAGUAUUGUAAUAAUUUGAAAAGCUCAACAGGUUAUGUUGUCCAAAACAUAGAAUGUGUCUGGCCACAUUUAGGCGGAGUUUCCACAGGGCAUCAGCAACUCCAUCCACCAGCAGUUGUCCAUGGCCAUCUGAAAUUUAAGAGUAUACCUCUGUUAAACCUAAGUAUUUGAGUGGCCAUAAACAGUCAUAGAUACACCUAUGCAGGAGCUAAUUGUAUAUUGUACUCGAAUGCUAGCAUAUCAGCUCUCAAGGUGGAAUAGUCUGGGAUAAAUGUACUAAAGAGGAAGGUCACAAUUAAAGGGGUAUUCCCAUCUCAUAAAGUAGGCCCUAGCGUGCCUAAAACAGCAGUACAUGGCACUUGCUAAUUGGGAUGUGUCAGCAAAGGUGCCUCUUUCCAUACUGUUUCUUCCUUCCUCUACCCCUUCUUACACAGCUUUUAUGGAAUUUGGCCCCCGCUGCAGUCAAGAGUUCCUCUAUCUGUAGUGGCUGUAAGCGUACAUGCACAAUAGCCCCUCUCCAGGCCACCUCACAUCACUUUUGUAGAAUGGCUUCAAGACAUCUGCGGUAGCUUUGGAGUUGUUUUAUACAGCUCGGUCACUAGAUGCUCUCACCAGCCUUCCUCCUCACCAAAGUUGCUAAUGAAAAUGCUUCACUAGCAGCCUCGGGAACUUGCAUGCACAGGCAGUUGCUGUGGUGAUGUCAUCAGAGUGCCGCUUGUCUGUGCUAUCAGUCAAAAUACAGGUCAUCUCCCCAUAGCAAUCAGGAAGUUCAGGGUUGCAGCCCAGAACCUGUUUGAUGGGGCAACCCCUUUAUUGGCAGUUCCUUUUGUUAGAUAGUAGAAAAGGGUACAUCUAAUUUGCCAGCUAUGUUACUUCAGCAUGCAAUUUCUUCUUUAUAAAUGGGUAAAAAUGAAGGUCAAUUUAGCACAAAACAUGAUUUACUUGUGAAGAUGUUGCAGAUUUAACACAUAUGAAUUACUGUACCUAUAUUUUCUACACUACCCCAAUAGCUUCAUAUGAUUCAUUCAGGUACUUACAUUUCAUGUGUUGAGAAUGUAUAUUGUUUUGUUUAUUACACACUAUUACUCAGUCUUUUUCCUGUUACAUAUCAUCUGACAGUAGGGUUAAACGGGUGAUGACAUAUAGCAGGACAUACAAUAUUUUUGUGUGUGCAGAUAUUCUUCUGUCCUCAGAGAAUUGUUAAUUUAUUCUCAUCCAAUUCUGUACAGUUCAACAAUAAUGUGAAAGGUAUUGUUUGUGACAGUACAUGCCUGCUAUUGCACAUCGUCAACUCCUUUUUUGUGUGUGUUUUAUCUGUUACGUUAAUAGAAAACAUGCUGUGUACAGAGCCAUCUCUUAAAAGAUUUUUUUUUGAAAGUUCAGGGAUUUUGAGCUGUUAAAAUUUUGUUAUGCAGUGUCUUUUUUUUUUUUUUGACUGGUUUAGAUUAUUUUUUUCUUAAGACAACUGUACAAAUACUGUGAAGAUACGUUAAGGUUUUAUUGACUUCUGAUGAUCCGGGGUUUUUAAAAUAUGCUGUAGUUGGAGUAAAUGAAAAGUUUGCUGUGCUCUAUUUAUCUAUAAAUCAGUUGAUAUAUUUGAAACUUUUUCUUGCUUUGAUUACUAUAAAGAUUUUUCCAACACCAGA